AUGGACCAUUCCAUCCCGUACUCAUGUGGCUAUGCAUCGGAGUCAGACGACGAUGGCGUGGAUGAAGAAGUUGAUGGGGAGGAGUUCACGGCGAAGGAGGUCGAAGCUUUCAAGAAGACAUUACGGCAGGAUCAUCGGAUAACAUUGUUCCAGGAUCUUAGUCUGGUGGAUAAAGCCGUGGUUGAUGGUGGAAAGGGUAUAUUUGUUGGAGUUAGGCCAACUUCUCACCGGGAUAUGGAACACGGAAGAACGGGAUUUCUCCCGGAUCAAAGUUCGAAACCAUCUCGAUGA
rnacentral:rRNA from 1 species